rnacentral:rRNA from 1 species
GACAGAGGCCUCAAGCGUUAGGCGGAAUCACUGGGCUUAAAGCGUGUGUAGGCGGAUCGUUAAGUGUCUUGUGAAAUCCCACGGCUCACCCGUGGAACUGCUGGGCAUACUGGCGAUCUUGGGCCAACUAGGGGCAACUGGAACAAGCGGUGGAGCGGUGAAAUGCGUAGAUAUCGCUUGGAACGCCAAAGGUGAAAACAGGUUGCUGGGGUCGUGCCGACGCUGAGACACGAAAGCCAGGGGAGCAAACGGG